UACGUAGGGGGCAAGCGUGGUCCGGAAUCAUUGGGCGUAAAGAGCGUGUAGGCGGCUCGAUAAGUCUGCUGUGAAAGUCCAGGGCUCAACCCUGGAAGGCCGGUGGAAACUGUCGGGCUAGAGUCCGGAAGAGGCGAGUGGAAUUCCCGGUGUAGAGGUGAAAUUCGUAGAUAUCGGGAGGAAUACCAGUGGCGAAGGCGCUGGGCUGGACGGUCAUUGACGCUGAGGUGCGAAAGCGUGGGGAGCAAACAGG
rnacentral:rRNA from 1 species